GUAAUGUAAUUUAGCUGUGUUUAUGUGGUAAUGUAAUUUAGCUGUGUGUAUGUAGCAAUGUAAUGUAGCUGUGUGUAUGUAGUAAUGUAGCUGUGUGUAUGUGGUAAUGUAAUGUAGCUGUGUUUAUGUGGUAAUGUAAUGUAGCUGUGUGUAUGUAGUAAUGUAAUAUAGCUGUGUGUAUGUGGUAAUGUAGCUGUGUGUAUGAAGUAAUGUAAUUUAGCUGUGUUUAUGUGGUAAUGUAAUUUAGCUGUGUGUAUGUAGUAAUGUAAUAUAGCUGUGUUUAUGUGGUAAUGCAAUGUAGCUGUGUGUAUGUAGUAAUGUAAUGUAGCUGUGUGUAUGUAGUAAUGUAGCUGUGUGUAUGUAGUAAUAUAAUGUAGCUGUGUGUAUGUAGUAAUGUAGCUGUGUGUAUGUAGUAAUAUAAUGUAGCUGUGUGUAUGUAGUAAUGUAAUGUAGCUGUGUGUAAUGUAGCUGUGUGUAAUGUAGCUGUGUGUAUGUAGUAAUGUAAUGUAGCUUAAUAUAAUGUAGCUGUGUGUAAUGUAGCUUAAUGUAAUGUAGCUGUGUGUAUGUAGUAAUAUAAUGUAGCUGUGUGUAAUGUAGCUGUGUGUAAUGUAGCUGUGUGUAAUGUAGCUGUGUGUAUGUAGUAAUGUAAUGUAGCUGUGUGUAUGUAGUAAUGUAAUGUAGCUGUGUGUAUGUAGUAAUUUAAGGCCAUACAACAAUUCAUGUUAUUUUGUUCUUCAGUUGUUUUCCAGGCAACACCUUAGUCUAAUAACAAAUAAACAAUGUUAAAAACAAACAUAAAACAAACAUUGGUCUAAUCAAAUCAAAAAGACUAAUGUCUAUAUAUUCACAUAUAUUUUGUUUAUAAUAAAAAACUAGUAGAAAUGUAUAAUAAUGAAAUAUUAAGGGAGAAAAAAAAGGAUACAAAAAGUAUUCCUGUAAAAGGCUAUGUACAAGCUACAUUCUACAUACUGUACUGUGAAUAACAAGCCAUAGAAAUGAUGCAUAUUUCAGUGAUGAAGGCUAUGUUGCUGCCUUAAAGCCUACAGAGGAGUGAAAGUAUCCCCAUGUAGCCACAGUGAGAGAGCUGGAUGAGGCCUAUCAUCAUAGAACACAUGGGAUUUACAGCAUCUUCAGGAGCCCAUGAUUAGUGUUUCAAUAAGGAUCCUCCUUUAGAGAGUUAGAUAUGGGCCCUGGUCUAAAGUUGGCCACCACAUAGGGAAUAGGGCCCUGGUCUAAAGUAGUGCACUAUAUAGGGAAUAGGGUGCCAUUUGGGAUAGAGAGUUUCAAUUGACUGGCAAUACAGUCAAUGUUAGAUUAUGGAAUAUUGAUAUGGAAAUACCAAAUAAAUCCUUAUUAAAUAAUGCAUGACAAUAAUACCACAUUAUAUCCCUUUAAGGAUCAUUUACUGUGACUGUCAGCUGUGGUAAUAUACUGUUUGUACUAAUUUAGAACAAUAUAUUACACAUUUGGUUAUUUGUUUUACAGUCUUUAAAGUAGCUAAUUCAUACGGUCUAUAAUCACAAUAUCUGUCUUAAGAAAGUCUUGAAACGGAAGUAAUGGCACAUUGUGAAAUAACGUUGAGAUGUUUGUUUGGGUGUGAAAAUAUUAGUUCAAAGAUGGACACCAUUCCUUAUUGUGUUUCUUUAACCGUUCAGAGAACGACCAGAGAAAUCAGGUUGAACACUGGAACCAUCAUCAUAUUGACAUAUCUGACAUCUGAAAUUCCCUUCGCAAGUUGUUUUAUUAAGUGCCUUGUUGGCUUUCCUUUCCACGUCUAUGACAUGAAACAGUAUAUUAGGACAAUAAAUAUA
ensembl:lncRNA